GCAGUUACUUCCGGGAGCAUGGGCUGAGGACUUGCAAGCGCCGCGGAUGGUGGGCUCUGUGGCUGGGAACAUGCUGCUGCGAGCCGCUUGGAGGCGGGCGUCGUUGGCGGCUACCUCCUUGGCCCUGGGAAGGUCCUCGGUGCCCACCCGGGGACUGCGCCUGCGCGUUGUAGAUCAUGGCCCCCAUUCGCCUGUUCACUCAGAGGCAGAGGCAGUGCUGCGACCUCUCUACAUGGACGUACAGGCCACCACUCCUCUGGAUCCCAGAGUGCUUGAUGCCAUGCUCCCAUACCUUGUCAACUACUAUGGGAACCCUCAUUCUCGGACUCAUGCAUAUGGCUGGGAGAGCGAGGCAGCCAUGGAACGUGCUCGCCAGCAAGUAGCAUCUCUGAUUGGAGCUGAUCCUCGGGAGAUCAUUUUCACUAGUGGAGCUACUGAGUCCAACAACAUAGCAAUUAAGGGAGUGGCCAGGUUCUACAGGUCAAGGAAAAAACACUUGGUCACAACCCAGACAGAACACAAAUGUGUGCUGGAUUCCUGCCGCUCCCUGGAAGCUGAGGGCUUUCGGGUCACUUACCUCCCUGUGCAGAAGAGCGGGAUCAUUGACUUAAAGGAACUAGAGGCUGCCAUCCAGCCAGACACCAGCCUGGUCUCCGUUAUGACUGUGAACAAUGAAAUUGGAGUAAAGCAACCAAUUGCAGAAAUAGGGCAGAUUUGUAGUUCCAGAAAGGUGUACUUCCACACUGAUGCCGCCCAAGCGGUUGGGAAAAUCCCACUUGACGUCAAUGACAUGAAGAUUGAUCUCAUGAGCAUCAGCGGUCACAAACUCUAUGGCCCUAAAGGGGUUGGUGCUAUCUAUAUCCGCCGUAGGCCCCGGGUACGUGUGGAGGCCCUACAGAGUGGAGGCGGGCAGGAGCGGGGUAUGCGGUCUGGGACAGUGCCCACACCCUUGGUGGUGGGCCUGGGAGCUGCAUGUGAGUUGGCACAACAAGAGAUGGAAUACGACCAUAAGCGGAUCUCAAAGUUAGCAGAGCGACUGGUACAGAACAUAAUGAAGAAUCUUCCAGAUGUGGUAAUGAACGGGGACCCGAAGCAGCACUACCCUGGCUGUAUCAACCUCUCCUUCGCGUAUGUGGAAGGAGAGAGCCUGCUGAUGGCCCUCAAGGAUGUGGCCUUGUCCUCAGGGAGGGUGUGUCCUAUGGACUAAAAGGAUCUGUCUCCAUCCUUAGUGCCUGCACUUCUGCAUCAUUGGAGCCCUCUUAUGUCCUCAGAGCAAUUGGUACCGAUGAGGAUUUAGCACACUCCUCUAUCAGGUUUGGCAUCGGCCGCUUCACUACAGAAGAGGAGGUGGACUACACGGCGGAGAAGUGCAUCCACCACGUGAAGCGCCUUCGAGAAAUGAGUCCUCUCUGGGAGAUGGUCCAGGAUGGCAUUGACCUCAAGAGCAUCAAGUGGACCCAGCAUUAGAGGAGUGGGCUGUGACUUUGUGCUGGCCUGGCUGUUCUGGCCUCACUGAUCUGUGCACAGCCAGGAACCUCACUGCCUGACGUGGUCCAUGCUCAAAGCAGAUGGGAAGCUCUGCAGUGACUUCACCACAGAAUGUUCUCUAGUGAAAGCUGAGGCUAGCUUUCUUAGCCUCGGCUCCUGUGUAGGCAUGUAUUCCGUAAUCUUCCUCAGGAGUUCUUCUCUUGCCUGGCGUGGCCAUUCUUAUCUGAGGGCCUGGAGGCACUGCCUUGUUACUGCCACAGGGAGGACCUACCUGUGCAGAGAUGGAAGAACUGGAAGAAGGCUCUAGGUUCAAAGACUGCUUCUCUGUGAAUCAUUACUCUAGCUGCUCAGCUGAACUGGCGCCAUUAGGGACUGGCAUAAACAAACUUUAUUUUAACCUUUUUUGUGGCUUUGAAAGACAUCUCUUUGUAUCGACUUCAGCUGAAGAACACCAAGUUGUAUUAAAGUCUUGUUUCCUUUGGGGUCUCAUCUUCUUUCCUCUCUUUUGACUUAAUGUAAGUAGAAAUAUCCAUGACCCCAAUCAUUAUUCUAAUAAUUUACUUAAUUCAUUAAACUUAAUUCAAUAAAUUCCCA